UACGUAGGGGGCAAGCGUUGUCCGGAUUUAUUGGGCGUAAAGAGCGUGUAGGCGGCCGUACAGGUCAGCUGUGAAAACUCGAGGCUCAACCUCGAGACGUCGGUUGAAACCGUACGGCUAGAGUCCGGAAGAGGAGAGUGGAAUUCCCGGUGUAGCGGUGAAAUGCGUAGAUAUCAGGAGGAACACCGGUGGUGUAAACGGCUUUCUGGACCAUAACUGACGCUGAGGCACGAAAGCCAGGGGAGCAAACAGG
rnacentral:rRNA from 1 species